AUUGAACGCUGGCGGCAGGCCUAACACAUGCAAGUCGAACGAGUGGCGGACGGGUGAGUAAUGCUUGGGAAACUGCCUGAUGGAGGGGGAUAACUACGGGAAACGGUAGCUAAUACCGCAUACCAUCGGAUGAGCCCAGGUGGGAUUAGCUAGUAGGUGGGGUAAAGGCUCACCAAGGCGACGAUCCCUAGCUGGUCUGAGAGGAUGACCAGCCACACUGGAACUGAGACACGGCCCAGACUCCUACGGGAGGCAGCAGUGGGGAAUAUUGCACAAUGGGCGCAAGCCUGACGCAGCCAUGCCGCGUGUAUGAAGAAGGCCUUCGGGUUGUAAAGUACUUUCAGCGGGGAGGCGUUACCCGCAGAAGAAGCACCGGCUAACUCCGUGCCAGCAGCCGCGGUAAUAC
rnacentral:rRNA from 1 species